rnacentral:rRNA from 1 species
AAAUACUUCUCGGAGCGAGCGUGAGGGGGUACUCCGAGUUCCUCCUUUGGAGGAUUUUGUAGUGUGUAAGAAGCACUGCAAAUAAGGGCCGGGCAAUGCCAGUGCCAGCCGCCGCGGUAAUACUGGAGGCCCGAGUGAUACUCACUAUUAUUGGGCUUAAAGCGUUCGUAGCCGGUUUUUUAAGUCUUUUGUGAAAUCCUGCUGCUUAACAGUAGGUCGGGCAAGAAAUACUGAAAGACUAGAGGAUGGGAGAGGUUGGAGGUAUUUCAGGGGUAGGGGCAAAAUCCUAUAAUCCUAGAAGGACCAUCUGGGCAAAGGCUUCCAACUAGAACAUGCCUGACGGUGAGGAACGAAAGCUAGGGAAGCAAACCAGAUUAGAUACCUGGGUAGUCCUAGCCGUAAACUAUGUGGACUGUGUACUGCGGGUGCUUAGGGCUCCCGCAGUGCUGAAGGAAAACCGUUAAGUCCACCGUCUGGGGAGUACGGUCGCAAGGCUGAAACUUAAAGGAAUUGGCGAAGGAGCACCACAAGGGGUGGAGUCUGCGGUUUAAUUGGAUACAACGCCAGACAACUCACCAGGGGCAACGGCAGAAUGACAGUCAGAUUUAAGAUCUUGCUUGACAAGCCAAGAGGUAGUGCAUGGCCACCGUCAGCUCGUACCGUAAGGCGUACCCUUAAGUGGGUUAACAAGCGAGACCCAUACUUUCAUUUGCUACCGUUCAUCUUUGAACGAGCACUAUGGAGGGACCGCUGACAACAAGUCAGAGGAAGGAAUGGGCGAUGAUAGGUCGGUAUGCUCCGAAUCCCUUGGGCUACACGUGGACUACAAUGACAUGAACAAUGGGAUGCAACUCCGAGAGGAGGACCAAUCCCCAAAUCAUGCCUCAGUUCGGAUUGAGGGUUGUAACUCACCCUCAUGAAGAUGAAAUCCCUAGUAACCGUAAGUUAACAUCUUGCGGUGAAUAUGUCCCCG